GAUAAACGCUGGCGGCGCACAUAAGACAUGCAAGUCGAACGAACUUAAUCGUUAGUUUACUAAUGAAGCGGUUAGUGGCGGACUGGUGAGUAACACGUAAGCAACCUGCCUAUUAGAGGGGAACAACAGUUAGAAAUGACUGCUAAUACCGCAUAUGCCAUAAGUAUCGCAUGAUACAAGUGGGAAAGGAGCAAUCCGCUAAUAGAUGGGCUUGCGUCUGAUUAGAUAGUUGGUGGGGUAACGGCCUACCAAGUCGACGAUCAGUAGCCGAGUUGAGAGACUCUACGGCCACAUUGGGACUGAGAUACGGCCCAGACUCCUACGGGAGGCAGCAGUCGGGAAUAUUGCGCAAUGGAGGAAACUCUGACGCAGUGACGCCGCGUGCAGGAAGAAGGUUUUCGGAUUGUAAACUGCUUUAGACAGGGAAGAAAAAGACAGUACCUGUAGAAUAAGCUCCGGCUAACUACGUG
rnacentral:rRNA from 1 species